rnacentral:lncRNA from 1 species
GAGAGUGCGCGGCGGCGUGGGAUGUGGUUGAAGAGACGAGCGCAGCAGCGAGCCAUGCUAGGGACAAGAAGAAGGAGUCAUCUGAUCCUUUGGAGAAUUACUGCAAGGAUAAUCCUGAGACUGAUGAGUGCCGUACUUAUGACAAUUGAUUGAAAUUACUAAUUAAGUCAUGUUAUAUUUGUUGUUAUUCUCAAACAUAAUAUCUAUAUGGUAAUUUCAUACUCUUGUUUUAAACUGUGUUAUCCCGAUGAAUAUUCUUGAAUGCUAAAGUUUCCUGUUUAGAAUCUGUUUGGCGCUAAUUAGAGUAUCUGAUAAUUAAAAUUACUAAUUAAGUCAUGUUUAUUUGUUGUUAUUCUCAAACGUAAUACCUAUAUGGUAAUUUGAUACUCUUGUUUUAAACUGUGUUAUCCUGAUGAAUAUUCUUGAAUGUUAAAAUUUCCUGUUUAAUUAGCUCAUACUAUACUUUUUCUUGGAUUUGUUGUCAUUAAGGAUGUGAUAUAUCAUGUGGGAGCAUAUAAUAUGCUGCAAAAGUAAUGGAGUCGGCUUCGAACUUUGUCGUUAAUAUGUAGCCAAAAAGCUCAUGGCUAAAUAGAAUUAGUCUAGAUUUUUCAGUUUCGCUAUAGAAUUUAAUUUGUCCGUCGCUAAUUUUCGUUUCAUUAGUUGAAGUAAAUAGUCUCCGAUACAUUUUCAUGAUUGUCCACUUCUUACAAAUGAGUUACUUUUCCACCUCUCAGGGUAAAGGCUUAGAUGGUGUGAACACGUGAAAAGGAGACACACUGAUACUCGUGAGGAGGUAUGAGAGGUUAAUCGUAGAGAGUUCGAGAAGACAUAGAGGUAGGCUAAAGAAGCACUAAUGACAUGUGAUUAGAUAGGACAUGAUGUUGUUUCAGCUUAUCAGAUCCAAUGUGUGAAAGUCGAAUAUUAGGAUAGAAGAAUAGUAGGUACUCGUGCGUUUUCCUUAUCCAAACUAAUAGUAUUAAGGUUAGUCUUGUACUUUCUUAUUUUUUGAGAGUUUCUAUUACUACAUGUUUUUUCUCUUUGGUUUAUCUUGUUAGUAGAUAAGAGUGGGUUGCUCGGUGAGUACUCUCCACUUCCAAUCAAGAGGUUGUGGGUUCGAGUCAUCCAAGAGCAAGAUGGGGAGCUCUUGGAGGAAGUGAUGCCGAGGUUUACUGGAAAUAACUUCUCUAUUCCGGGGUAGGGAUAAGGUUUGCAUACGCACUACCCUCUCUCGACCCCACUGGUGGGAAUAUACUUGGUUGUUGUUGUUGGUUUAUCUUGUUAGUUUGAUGU